ACCGCUUCGACUUUCCGUCAGUUAGUACAUUUCCUGCCAUAAUCGAUUAUCUCAAAAUGAUAGAUAAUCGAUUAUUCUCUGAAUCUGUUUUCAGACUGAGUCAUCAAAAUCGAUUAUCUGACCAACAAAAUCGAUUAUCAACGUUCACUUUUUCAAACUUCUUACCGUUUUUUGACUGUUUGGGACUUAAAAUCUGAAGUUAUUGUACAAUUAAAUACCUUCAUCUCCUUCACUCUAUAAAUAGGUGCUUCCACCCUUCAAAUUCUUCACUCCAACAUCAUUCCUAGCUCCUAAUAUUCUUCCAAAGUCUUCAAAAAUUUCUGCAAAGGCUCUCAAAUUUCUUUUUAAAUGACGGGCAAGAAUUCUAAACGAGCUCACUCCGGCAAACAUAUUGCCUCCUCUUCCAUUGCUCCUCCACUCGUUCACUGCUAUAAAGACGGAUCUUAUUUACGGUUCGACAGUGUAGCCGAACUUAUUCGUUUCGUCGAAAAAUUUGAAAAUCGAGAAAUCCUUCCUCCUCGAUUCUC
rnacentral:lncRNA from 1 species